rnacentral:rRNA from 1 species
CCUACGGGUGGCAGCAGUGGGGAAUAUUGCACAAUGGGGGAAACCCUGAUGCAGCAACGCCGCGUGAGUGACGAAGUAUUUCGGUAUGUAAAGCUCUAUCAGCAGGGAAUAGAAAAGAAGGUACCUGAAAAAGAAGCCCCGGCUAACUACGUGCCAGCAGCCGCGGUAAUACGUAGGGGGCAAGCGUUAUCCGGAUUUACUGGGGGUAAAGGGAUAGUAGACGGGAAGGCAAGUCAGAGGUGAAAGCCCAGGGCUCAACCAUGGGACUGCUGUUGAAACUGUCAAACUAGAGUACGGGAGAGGUAAGAGGAAUUCGUAGUGUAGCGGUGAAAUGCGUAGAUAUUAGGAGGAACACCAGUGGCGAAGGCGUCUUACUGGACCGAAACUGACGUUGAGGCUCGAAAGCGUGGGGAGCGAACAGGAUUAGAUACCCGUGUAGUC